UAGCUGUUUCUCCCACAUUUACUUCCAUUGGUUAAUUUACCAAGCUUUAUGACACUUUUAGGUUUUCCGAUUUAUUAAUGAUUGAUUUAUAUAUAAGAUUGAACGAUGGCCAAAUUAGAUCCUCACUUUCUCUCGCUAUUAGAUUUCUGGAUUAUGAUCUUAUUGGUUUCAACCCCCCAAAAUCAAUGCGUGGAGGGAUUCAGAUUUGUUAUCCUCAUGUAAUUUUAUAUUGUGGAUCACUGGAUCAACAUAGGUUUGCAAGGGAAAAAAUAUGGGUAAUCGGUGACAAUCUACCUACACGAGUUCAUAAAAUCAUCAUUAGCUGAUCUUCAUCUCAAACCAUCAGAAGAGGACUUAAAGCAAUGGUCUGACAGGUAAAAGUAAAACCAUCAUCAUCUUUUUAUGUUCUUUAUCUUUAUAGAUUCUGAAUUUUAUGUGUGUGUUUCCUUUUUGAGUUCUGGGUUUCACUUGCUAUAGAUGGCCACUCAACUUUGAUUUCUUUAGAAACAUCAAUGGCAAACCCUUCAGAUUCUUGAUCAUGAACGGAAAAAAACACAUGUUAUUGGAAAAGAAUACGUUGUAUGUAAACCAUGGGAAGGUGAAUUUAGGGGACGAUGAGCACAAAAGCAUACUUUGUGUGGAUGGUUAUUACUUUGAAGCAAUGAGAAGAAUGGACCAGCCAGCUUAUAUUAAUCGCUGUUAAGAUCAGUCUCUGCUUUGAUCAACUUGAACAACAGAGCAAAGGAUUCUGAUUCUGUCUGUUUUGGAAUUCCAUCCUAAAAAAAAUCAUCCACUGCAGAGAUCAUGCAGAGGAAUAAGCUUGAUAAUGUAUUUCACUAAAAUCUUAUUGCAGGUGCUGGCUUUUUCUUACCAGUCUUACAAGAAAGGCCAAGCUCCAAGAAGUUGAGCUGGAAAAACAGCCAAGCAGCUCAAAGAGGCGUUUACAAUCUCUAGCGAAGAAACGAUUAGAUGUGCGGCAACAAAAAAAAUGUUAUCAUAUCUCUUACCGCAUAAGUAAUUUCAAAGCUCAAAAGAAACGACCAGAUGUGCGGAAAUGCCUCACUGAGACUCUUUUACCCCAACCACUUCUCUGAUUUUCCCAGCCCAAGCUUCUGAGUGCAAAUCUUGGGAUAUAACAUAUCUUCUAUAUAUAAAGAUAGAAAAUUUAAAGUUUUGAAAGUGUUUUACGUCUUAUUUCAUUGUAGUUUGGGGGCUCUAUGGUGUUUAUUGUGAGAAGGUAGUAAUUGUCUUAUGAAAUCAAAGCAAUCUGAUUACUCAAUUAAAAACAGAAAAUUAUUUCAAA